GCCCCCGUGGUGUAGUGGCUAGCAUGUGGGCCUGUCAAGCCCGAGAUGCGGGUUCGAUUCCCGCCGGGGGCGCCA
rnacentral:tRNA from 1 species